CUUCUACCCGUGGAAGUCUGUGCUCACUUCUUCCCGACCCUGCCGGACUCCAGCUUCCGCGCCCGCUGGCAGCCCAAGGACACGUCCCGCCGCCCCACGGCGCUGGGGACGCUGCGGGGUUCAGUGUCCCUUCCUUCCGGAUCCGCGUUUGAAUCCCCCUUCCUCGGAUCCCGUACGCAGCCCAGAGCCCGGCGAUCUGACUUCUUCCGUGGGCGGCCACUCAGUGACCCGAGCGGCGGCGUUUUGGCCCGGAGGGUGGGCGCAACGUGGGGACCGCCCGGGUCCAGCCGGCUUGCGCGCCGCCCCUCCUCGCUGCAGCUGGGCACGUUGGGCGGCAGGAGAGGCUGCUGUCUUCCUGGCUCUCCCUUCCUAAGCUCCCGGGUCUGCGAAAGUUUGGGAAGGGCGAUUCAGCUUCGCACCUGAGCUGUUUAAGGACCAGAUCUGACCUUUUUUUCUGAAGAUUGCCCGUGGGGCGUGCCAGUCUCUCGCCCGACCUUGGGAAGUGGACAAGGAGUGAUUUCAGAGUCGUUUCUCGACCUGCUGUGUGUUUGGCAUUUGGGUGGGUGGUUAGGUGGGCCCUCUUAUCCUAAACCAAGAGAGCUUAACCCCCUCUUGGGACACGAACCCCUUAAAGAAUCAGAUGACAGCUUCUGUCCUUUUGCCCAGGAAAAUACCCGACAUAGGCGCACCCAAAACGUUCCCUACAGUCGCAGGGGGGUUCUGGUUUCCCAAAC
rnacentral:lncRNA from 1 species